GACGAACGCUGGCGGCGUGCCUAAUACAUGCGAGUCGAACGCUGGAGGAGGAGCUUGCUUCUCCGGAUGAGUUGCGAACGGGUGAGUAACGCGUAGGUAACCUGCCUGGUAGCGGGGGAUAACUAUUGGAAACGAUAGCUAAUACCGCAUAACAGUAGAUGUUGCAUGACAUUUGCUUAAAAGGUGCAAUUGCAUCACUACCAGAUGGACCUGCGUUGUAUUAGCUAGUUGGUGAGGUAACGGCUCACCAAGGCGACGAUACAUAGCCGACCUGAGAGGGUGAUCGGCCACACUGGGACUGAGACACGGCCCAGACUCCUACGGGAGGCAGCAGUAGGGAAUCUUCGGCAAUGGACGGAAGUCUGACCGAGCAACGCCGCGUGAGUGAAGAAGGUUUUCGGAUCGUAAAGCUCUGUUGUAAGAGAAGAACGAGUGUGAGAGUGGAAAGUUCACACUGUGACGGUAUCUUACCAGAAAGGGACGGCUAACUACGUG
rnacentral:rRNA from 1 species